rnacentral:sRNA from 1 species
AAGCAGUCUAUAUCUAUAUAGCUAUAAACUAAGGCGAUUGCAAUUGCGAUUGCGCUACCGGUUCGCAUAUUCAAUUUGCACCAGCAUGCGAAUCGGAUUUUUGAAUCAGCGAUCCUCUUCGCCUUUUUUUUUUGUCUUUAUCUCUUUCUAUUUGCGGUUUACGUUUAUAAUGUUAUGUGUGCUUACUGCGUUUUUUCUGGAAGAAGCUUCAAGUUUAUGGGUGACAUAUAAAAUUAUACAUAUUAUAAAUAUAUCACAGAAAUAUUUUGCCAGUCAAACCGGCUUGAAAAACAUUACCAUUUAUGAAUAUUCUUUAACAUAUAUGUACGUUGAUCAGCACACCCAUAACUUUGAGCUUCUUCUGGACGUUGUUAUCUGUAACUAAUUUUACGUUUUUAUAUCAAUCCUACUAAGUUUUAUGCUGAACUGAUCCCCAGUCCCCUUCCCCCUCCCUCUGUCUAUGGAUAUCUGUUAGAAGUUCCAAUUCUUCACUCACCUGUUGCAUUUACAAUCCCACCUCCCUACAUUCGCAUUUCCAUAACUCACCGGUGCACAAGUUCGAUCUCACUGCACAGUAAACUUCGAUCGUGAUCGUGAUCAUGACCCACAUCCGUUGGGCGACAAGUGCUAUCCUCCAGUUAACAACUAAUGACAGUUGCACCACCGAAAUAGUCAGUGGGUCUGAAAUUAAUUGAAAGUGCGGCUAAUUUGCAUUUAGGAUGCAAGUGCGCGGAAAAGACAGUUAUCUAUCAUCUAUCAUACCUUCAAACCAGCACUCUACUGAGUAAAGUAAAGUUUAAUUUUUCAGGGAUGUAUCUUUAUUGCCCUGUUUAUUUUUGUGAAGUGCAUUCUCUUGACUUGUCCCAAAAGGCUUGUGCAUGCGAUUAGCCUUCGCCGUUGAAGAGCCUUUUUAAAUGCAGCCUUAAGCUGUUUUUGUUUGACAAACAAACUGAAGAACUGGGCGCCGAUCAUUAAGUUUUUUUUUUUUUGGGCUGAAAGCGAAAUCAGGUAGCCGCUGCAAAAACAAACAGCGAGAUUCCCAAAGGCAAAGCCGUAAGAAAAACGAAAUUCGAGAAGAGCCGAUGUGAAGAGGCCCCCAAGAAAACCCAAAACCAAAAACCCAAAACCAAAACUCAAACCCAAUCUGAAGACGAAACUGAAACCCAGAGCUUCAGCAAGUGGGGUUACGUAAGCUGAAGAUAACGUGACUGGCAAGGCUUCGGCAAAGUCGCUGUCGAUCCGUCUUCCUCUUGGCGUUUUGGCGGGUUAAAGGAGGGGUUAAACGAGCUCUGGAAUGGUCUCCCUUGGGUGGUGGUAGUCCAUGUAGUUCAUAAAUUUAGCGACGCUUUUGUCUAGACGAUCUGUUAACUAAGUUGUUUACACCAACUAGAGACUAAUGUUGUGGCGCUCUUUUUGGGUCAUGGGGCCACAAACAAGAAGCUGUGACAAAAAACUUGAGGAUUACGAGAAUGAAUGUACCAGAAAACAGUUUAAGCUGUUUUGGGCAAAACCCAUUGACCAACUAGCCGAGUUAAUUGGCUACUAGCAAUUAAAACGAAUGCAUAAACUCAGAGCUCAUUUGAGGCACCCAUGAUGGAAAUAUCAUUGGAGCUUAAUGGUUUUCUUUGGCACGAAAUAGUUAUAUUUCGGUCGCGGUUUUCAUAUUCGGCAAUCAAUGAACCCAUCAUAAUGAAUGGACCCGUACGUGAUAAUUAGCGAAUUCGCACGGAUCUGAAAUGGGGAAUCGUGCCUCACUUUCGCGUGCCUUGAUUUAUGAUUCAGUCGCAGAUUAUCGUAAUUAAAACACAAUAGGAUAUCAACCAGUUAUGGAUAUAGAUGAAGAUAUGUACACUCAUAAGUUGCGGCAGUUUGAUUUCGACAUUCGACAGCCAAACUGUUGCGAAUUUAUCAAAAGCAGCCGACAAAUUCCAAUCUAUAUAGAAGUGAUUCUGGGGCCAUUUUAAGCCAUAAAUAUUUAUUCAUUUAUGGGAGAGUUUGGUUUCCGUUUCAGUCAGCCUGCCCCUUGACAUUUUUAAGCCAAUCAUAUGCACAAUGAAAUCACAUUUCAUCUGGCCAUUUCAAGUGCAAUAAACACAUUUUGUUUCUCAUCGAAGUAUAAUUUACAACUUUGGAUUGUGUUUUAAAGAUUUGGCACGGCAUUUGACACAUUUCGUUAGCCAUUUCUGUGUGGGAUGACAGCCCAAUAUGUCGAUAAAUCCAAGGCCUGCGAGAUGAUAUUAACGAAUAUUAAUAAAAAUCCAUUACAUUUGCUGUUCGCUGAUUCCAGCGAAGGUUGUCCAGGCACAGAAACAUGUCAAAAUCAAGAAGAUGGUGGGUGCAGAUGUCGUGAAGCCGUCAAUCAAUUAAAAAUUAAAUUCAAUAAACAUAAACAGUGAGGGAGAUGGCGAUGGUGAUGGCGAUGGAGAUGUCGUUGCGAAUGAAGAUGGCGCUGGAGACAAGCAAAAUUAAUUGGCCUGAACUUGAGCAGCGUUUUGCGGCGGAAGUGCGGGGAAUUUCAAUUAUUUCGGCAUAAUCCGAAAUGAGAAAUAAAUAACACUUUCGGCUGCCAGCCGUGACGCAAAUCAUCUUCACUAUCUCUGCGGAGCAUUCAAGUUUAUGAGCGGCCGAGCUGCAGUCGAAAGUUCAGGGCUUCCUUUUAUACGGCCAAGCCCGUUCGUCCCAAAAUGUAAAUGAGCCUCAAUUGCUCGUGGCCAUAGAAUAGAGAUAUGCACAUGUGCUUAGCAGCCGGAACUGACUUGGCUGGCGAAUUCGAAGCAACGCCCACCGCGAUCUGGCUUAGUCACAUUCAAGUUGACCGCAGAGCAGAAACAGCAUUAACAGAAUUCCCCAACGGCAGCGCCUAAUUAAAAUAUUCCACAUCUACAGUAUAGCCACAAUUUAUUCAGUUAUUCCGUUUGUUGCUGCUAACAGGAAUCGAGGCGCAGAUCAGAAAUCAGAAGCUGGCUGAGAAUCUUUCAGAUAUCCAAGGAAAUUAUUAUUAAUUAUACGAACAUGGCACGAGCACCGCACAAUGCCCAUGGCGAAAAUAACAAAAUCGUUGUCAGUGCAAUCAUUAGCCAUUAAUUCGGUUGUCGUUGCUGUCAAAGUCAGCUGUCACAUGGAUUCCCCGAUUCCCAGACUCCCAGCAACAAAACAAUGAGUGUUCAUUUGAUAAAACCCAUUCAACAAUCGGACAGUGCGUUUCAAGAGUGUAAGACUACGUUUCGGAUUGACCCUUAAACAUUGGCAUUGCACAAAAAGAGUCACUAAUGUGUGCCAGUUAAUUACUUAUCUUUUUCUCGUAAGUGGACUUUUCAUACAAAGUAAACAAAAAAAGUCUUAGAUUUUCUUACUUACGAUAUAUAAUUGGCGAAUUGUCGCUAUUAGGUUGAAUUAUUUACUAGCGUUUCAUGCUCGGACGACACGAAACGCACAGUAUGCCC